rnacentral:rRNA from 1 species
GUUAAAAAUAAAACUCAAGAAUUGAUCAAUACCCAAUCCCGUUUGAUCUCGAAAACUAAGCAGGGUCGGGCCUGGUUAGUACCUGGAUGGGAGACCACCUAGGAAGAUCGGGCACUGUAGGAG